ACUUAGCAGAUAGAAUGUGGCCCAGGCUGGAGUCGCUCUGCAUCACAAGCAGAGAUUGGCCUUGGACACUCAGGGUGUAGAAGUGAUUCAUAGGCUACGAGAAGUGGCUGCAGGCAGCUAGUCCCUGGAAGGUGGCUUAGAGUUUGUAGCAGGUCCCUGAAGAUCUGGAGAUGUGAUGAAGUUGCACUUGAAACAAAUCAGAAGACCCUCGCCCAACAGCAGGGGAGCCACUUUGAGGAAACACAACAGCUGCAUCCACCAUGAGCACCAUCCCUCUGCCUUCCCAUACCUAUGGAGUGACCAGGCCUGUAUCACUCUCAUUAGAGUCUGUCUAGUUCAUCCCAGGAAACACCGGGCACCAUCUCUGCUCAGAAUUCCUUUUCUAUCACAAAAGAAACCUGGAAGGUUGAGGAAGAGGCAUAAUUUAUUCAAGGUGGCACAGCUCAGCUGGUGGCAGAAUCCAUCUAGAGCAUUCUCUGGCCCCAGCUCAGGGCUCUUUCCACAAAACCACCGCCCAGGCUCCUUUCAAGGAGGAAGACUAGCUUUGAAGUCUUUCCAGGGACCUCCCUGAGUGCUGAGAGCUUUCUGGUGAUGGCUCCCAGACUGAGGCCAGGCCCUGGGUGCCAGGGUGCCACCUGCAGAGAGGCUGCAGAAGAACUGAACUCUGUGGGCAGAACAGACACCCAGGAAGAGACAUCAGCUGGAGUGUCAGUCAGGGCCCAGGGGAGGUGCUGAUUCUCGAUUCUCUUUCUCGGGUGACCCUGGAGCAUAGCUUCAACCAGAUAAUCAAACAGGAACUAAUUAGCACCUUCCUUCCGAGCAGGGCCCUCUGGGGCAAAGGCUGCUCAGUGGAGAGAGAAACCCAUUAAUUACUUUAUCAGGAAGCACUGAUAAGCACCCAAAAAAGGUAUUGCUCUGAGGCUCAGGCUUAUUAAGGAGGGCUGCAGGUGGCAGGAUGCCUCCCUGCCUGGGAGCACAGCCACUUUAAUCCCUAACCCCCUGGAUUGAGGGCCAGAAGAGACUUUAUUUAUUUAUUUAGCCACCAGGCUUAUUGCUGGGGCUCAGUGCUACAAAUCCACCACUACCCCCCCCCCCCAAUACUUAUAUUUUAUUGGAUAGGACAGAGAGAAAUUGAGAGGGGAGAGGAGAAUAAAGAGGAAGAGAGAAUGAGAGACACGCGGAGACCUUCUUCACAGUGAAGCUUCCUCCCUGCAUGAGGGAAGGGGGGUUAGAACCUGGGUCCUUGAGCUUGGUAAUGUGUGGACUCAAUUGAUUAUUCAUGGUCCAGCUGUCCAGGAAAGACUUGUAGGUCCCAAAGGUGAGGGGUGGAGGUUCUCUACCUUUGUUGUUCAGUACCCCCAACCCUGGAGGCCUAGGGAAUCAGGACUAGCUUAACCUAACUGAGUGGGGGUUGGGGAGUGGCCAAGGAUGGGUGGGAUGGUCUGGCUAGUUCUCAGGACCACAUGCAACUGUACCACCAGCUUCAAAAGGCUGUGUGUGCUUUCUUACACCCAUCAUAUGGGUGGAGGUUAAUAGGAGGCUCAGAAAACAAAGCAUCUACAUGCCCAAGGCCCCAGAGGUGACAGGUUCAAUCCUGGACAUGACCAUAACACAUCUGAGUUGGGCAGUGUUCAGGUCUCUUGAUCUCAUAAUAAAUU